UGGGGAAUAUUGGGCAAUGGGCGCAAGCCUGACCCAGCAACGCCGCGUGAAGGAAGAAGGCCCUCGGGUUGUAAACUUCUUUUGUCAGGGACGAAGCAAGUGACGGUACCUGACGAAUAAGCCACGGCUAACUACGUGCCAGCAGCCGCGGUAAUACGUAGGUGGCAAGCGUUAUCCGGAUUUACUGGGUGUAAAGGGCGUGUAGGCGGGAGAGCAAGUCAGAUGUGAAAUUCCAGGGCUCAACCCUGGAACUGCAUUUGAAACUGUUUUUCUUGAGUGAUGGAGAGGCAGGCGGAAUUCCGUGUGUAGCGGUGAAAUGCGUAGAUAUACGGAGGAACACCAGUGGCGAAGGCGGCCUGCUGUACAUUAACUGACGCUGAGGCGCGAAAGCGUGGGGAGCAAACAGGAUUAGAUACC
rnacentral:rRNA from 1 species